CUCGGAGGCGCGACCCCGCCCCUCUGAGGCGGUUCGGCCCAGCCGGAAUUAAAGGUGCAGACUUUUUACCUUCCAGCUCUCUGUCUGCUUUCUGUCUCCUUCUCUAUCCUUCAGAUACUAUCUCUGGGACCAAAAUCUGAGGGAGCCUGUGCGGAAGAGCCGGCCAGCACUGCCCCGGUGCCUUUCACUCCUUGCCCGCCGGGAACAGCCCAGCCCCAGGGGCAGAACCGACUGCGCAGCCGUGAGCUGGGGAAAACCACGGGGAGUGGAGAGGUAUUUAAGAAUACAUUAGGUAAAAAAGAAGAGAGAAAGAAAAAAAUAAUUCUAGGCAGAGAGAAGAGCCUAUGUAAACACAGGGAAGAAUAAGGAAACACAUUGAUACUGCUGGAGUAAAUGAUCUUUCUCCAUUCCUUCAUUUGGAGCCUAUGUGAGAUGGGUCUCUUAAAAACAACAGUAAGGUAAGUCUUGUUUUCGUAUCCACUUUGCUGUUCUAUGUCUUUUAAGUGGAGAGUUUAGGCCAUUUACAUUCAAGGUUAAUAUUAAUAUGUGAGAGAUCUUUUUCCUGUUGUAGUGUAGUUAGCUAGUUGCUUUGUAGAUUCUAUUGCUUAGUUGCUUUGCAGGGUCUGUGGGCUACAUGCUUACCUGUGCUUUUGUGGCAGCAAGUGUCAUUCUUUGAUUUUUUUAAUUUAUAAUUCCCUUAAGCAUCUCUUGCAGGGCUGGUCUGCUGGUGAUGAAUUACCUUAGUGAUUGCUUGUAUAGCAAAGAACUUAUUUCCCCUUAGUUUAUGAAGCUUAGUUUGAUGGGAUAUAAAAUUUUGGGCUGGCAUUUAUUUUCUUUAACAAUGCUAAACAUGAGCUCUAAUCUUUU
rnacentral:lncRNA from 13 species